AGUGCCCAUGGAGACACCGAGGCUCUGUCCAGGAAUGUGCUGGCUGGCCAGCCUGCUGCUCCCACAGCUCCUUGACAGCGCUGAGCCUCUCAGACACAGAUCUCACACUCACACUCACGCUGCCUGGUAAUGAAGCGAUCUGGGGCGCAAACGCCCCAUCAGCGUCUCCAGAGGGUAACAAGAAAGAACAGGUGUGUCUGCCAUUUUCCAGCCUAGUUACCAUCUCCACAAGAUGCAUGGGAGAAUGGUAGAGUGACCAUAAGAUCAUGCUCUACACGAUGACAUGUUGGCUUCCAGUCCUGGGCCUCCAUUGGAUUCUUCUGAGCACAGCCCCCAUGGAGGCCUGCCCGGCACGCUGCGAGUGCGCUCCUCAGAUCAAGUCCGUGGUGUGUCAUCGCAAACGCCUCACCUCCAUCCCCGAGGGGAUCCCCACUGAGACCAAGAUCCUGGAGCUCAGCAAGAACCGGAUCCGCUGCCUGAACCCAGGGGACCUGUCCCCUUACCCUUUGCUGGAGGAACUCAAUUUAAGUGAGAACAUCAUCGUCAGUGUGGAGCCUGGAGCCUUCAGCAACCUGUUUCACCUUCAGAUCUUGCGGCUCCGAGGCAACCAGCUCAAGCUGAUCCCUUCUGGAGUCUUCACCAAGCUGACCAAUCUCACCCUCCUGGACAUCAGCGAGAACAAAAUAGUCAUCCUGCUGGACUAUAUGUUCCAGGACCUGAGGAACCUGAAGAACCUGGAGGUGGGAGACAAUGACUUGGUGUACAUCUCCCAACGGGCUUUCUCUGGCCUCCUAGGCCUGGAGCGGCUGACCAUAGAGAAAUGCAACCUGACGGCCAUCUCGGCCGAAUCCCUUUCCUACCUCCAAAACUUGGAGGUCCUGCGGCUCCGACACCUCAGCAUCUCCACGGUGGAAGAUGGGAACUUCAGGAAGCUCUACAAUCUCCUGCAACUGGAGAUCGACAACUGGCCGCUGCUGGAGGACAUCUCGCCCACCAGCUUCCAGGGCCUAAACCUCACGUCGCUUUCCAUCACCUACACCAACAUCACGGCAGUGCCCACGGCUGCCAUGAGGAACUUGGUGUACCUCAUGUUCCUGAAUUUGUCUUAUAACCCCAUCAGCACUGUGCCCAAGGGCUCCUUCAAGGACCUCAUCAGGCUGCGAGAGCUCCACAUGGUGGGUGCCUCCUUGGUCUCCGUGGAGCCUCAAGCGUUCUCUGGCUUGAGGCAAAUCCGCCUCCUCAACCUCUCCAACAAUUUCCUCUCCACCCUGGAAGAAAGCACCUUCCAUUCAGUGAACACGCUGGAGACGCUGCGUGUGGACAGGAACCCACUGGCCUGCGACUGCCGCCUCCUCUGGAUCCUACAGCGCCGCAAGACGCUGAACUUCGAUGGGCAGCAGCCCAUGUGCUCUUCACCCCCUGAGAUCCAGGGCAACGCCCUGCGUGACUUCCCAGACUCCAUACUCUUUGAGUACUUCACCUGCCAAAAGCCCAAAAUCAGGGACCGAAAGUUGCAGCACAUAACUGCCCGUGAAGGGCAAUCUGUCUCCUUCUUCUGCCGUGCAGACGGAGAGCCCAUUCCUGCCAUCAUUUGGGUCUCCCCUCAGCACAGGAUGAUCACCACCAAGAGCACUGGGAGAGCCACCGUCCUGCCCGGGGGCACGUUGGAAAUCCGCUUUGCCCAGGUCCAAGACAGUGGCACCUACAUUUGCAUCGCCAGCAAUGCCGGAGGCAAUGACACCUAUUUUGCCACCUUGACAGUCAAGGGGCAUCCCGUGGACGGCUCCCUUUAUGCAAACCGGACCUUGUACCUCAGCGAGUUCAACGACACCUUCCACAACAACACACAAGUCUUCUUAAAGUUUACACUGGACCUCAAGACCAUCCUGGUCUCCACGGCCAUGGGCUGCAUCACCUUCCUUGGGGUCGUGCUCUUCUGCUUCCUGCUCCUCUUUGUGUGGAGCCGGGGGCGGGGACAGCACAAAAACAACUUCACCGUGGAAUAUUCCUUCCGCAAAGUGGAUGGCCCCACCACCACUGCCGGGCAGGGCAGCGCCAGGAAGUUCAACAUGAAGAUGAUCUGAGUGGCUCCAAGAGGAGGGUGGUUCCUAGUCCAAUGCCUGCCGCCAAAUGGGGCCCUCCAAGGGCCAGGCAGGGGGUUGAAGCAUCCUUCCUUUGUUUUCCAAGUGAGCACUUCAUCUCCUCAGGUGGCUGCGCUUCCCUGAGGGUCGAGGCAGUAAAACUCAUGGCGGAACCUAGCUGGGACAUUGGCUCGAUUUGACCACAAGGGCUUGGAAGCAACUGGGAGGAGCGAGUGUUUUUCCUCAUUGGUCUUGCCACACAACUGAACUGGGGAGAAGCAUCACUGGAAAUGGCCCCAGGUGCCUCCCGGCGGCUUAUUCUCAUUUCUGAGCACACUCCCUUUCUUUGAGCUGUGAGGACCCCCCCCACGCCCAGGUCCCAGAGGACAAGAGGGGGCCAAGGAGGCAUGCACAGCCCUUGUGGGUCAGGGCCUCACAAUGGAGCUAAAAUUCUUUUGUAUCAACUAUGCAUUUUUCAGACCAUGAGCAAGCAGUGUCUGGGCCCGGAGAACCGGCUUCCUUUUUUAAGAGACGAUCUGGAAUCCUUUGUCGGUUGUUGUUUAUGGUUCGUUUUUAAUUUGUUGUUUGUUUGUUUUUUUUAAUGAAUUUCCAACAGAAGUCUUCCUGUGCGACAAAGGACUAACCCACAGCGCAGAGCGAGGGCACACAUGCUCCAACCGGCCUGGGCAGCUCGAUCCAACACAGGGGAAGUGCUGUGCCUUGGAUGAGUUCCUCUCAGCAUUUGGAAGAAGGGGAAGCCUCUGAAGCUUGCAAACCCCAGCGCCCGGGGAGGGAUCCUCCUGCACAAGCAAUAAUAACCCAACCUGACAGUCCCUUCCGGGCGUACGGGUCUGUGCAGGCAUGAAUGCCACCCCAUUGGCGCUGAGCGGUAUUUCACCAAAGCACAUGGGCGUUCAAAGCCAGAGAACAGGCUGCUGGUUGUGGCGGCAGGAGAAACAGGAAGUGCAGCCCCUGUGAGUUACAGCCAGGCCUCUGAAGGCUCAGAGCCUCAUUAGCUGGCCCACUUGUAUGUGUCUGACUCAGCUGACGCUCUCCUGGGCUACAUCGGGCUGUCUUGUGCAUUCGCAGUGGCUACCUGCUUUUAGGCUGGGCCUGGCAGCAAAUUCUGCCAUGGUGGCAGGAGGCUGGGAGCUCUUACGGGGGGAAAGCCCGUCCCUACAUCUCGAGAGGCGCAGAGGAAAUCUCCACGGUAAAAAAUGACACCAGACUGCGACCCUCGCUGCUGCUGGCCUCUCCGAUUUUGUCUGUGAUUCCUGGCCAGAAAGGAUCCACCACGCAGCACAGCCAAUGGUUGCUCUCGUCCAUGCUCACUGAGGGAAGAGGGGAUGGAGGACUGGAGCUCUGCUCUUCAUCUGUUUUUAAAUCAUGUCAUUUCCACCCCCCCUUCCUUUUUUUUUUUUUGAAAAAAUGGAAGCAUAAAGAAGUCAAAUCUCUUAGAGCAAAUUUGCACACCUGGGUACUCCCCACUGAGUACAACCUCGAAGCCAGAGGCUGUGCCUUGCACUGGGGAAUCUCAGCUCCCGCUGCUGCUGCAGAUGCAGCACUACAACUCAUCUAGCCCAUUAUACGUGCGUUGCAGUGUGCAGACCUUGCACAAUCAUUUUCACAAGCAUGGGCCCGUGCAAACUGUUCCUAAGGGCAGCAGGAGUCACUGUGAACGGGACAGGGGGGAGGGGUCAGGCGCCCUGGGGUGUUGGUGGGUGACCUUGGUGAAUGCAUGUCCCCUCUGUAUAUGUGUGUCAGUUCUGCAUCUGUGAUCCAGGGAUUGUGACAACCUAUCCGGGGUGUGUGGGAGAAGCAGAACCUCGUGCAUGUUUUGGAACGAAUUUUGUAAUGGCUCUUGGAGAAAACCAAAGAUCGUGGCUUGUCUGUGCCUUGCGGGCACUCCUCGAGACAGCGCCUCCGUCCAGGAGCUGACGUGCGACGUGGUGUUAUCGCUAUGUUCAGCCCCAUGAACGGCUCCUGGAGGAGGUGUUAACAAAGCCCAUGAUAAAUUGUAGGCAUAAAUAUACAUGGAAAUUGUAGGCAUAAAUAUACAUGCAAAUUAACACACGUGUGUGGCAUACAGUACCAGCCCCGUGCGAGUGCCUGCUCCUGUCCCUGCUGCUCUGUACCAAGGCCCUCAGGAGACUCUAUCCUCCCCCCGCCCACCAUCACAGACUUGCUCUGCGAACAUUCACACAAGAGAUGUGGGUUUCUUGGCUCCCCUGGUGGAUUAAAACAAGUCUUGGAUGCUGAGGUGCCCCCAGGAAGGGGCCUGGGAGGCCUGAUGCCCUCUGUCCUGGGGCAGGUGGGCGGCUUUUUGCCCCCCUCCUUUGUUUUCACUGGUUUUUUCCUCUCCCCUUUCUCUUAAGCCCUUAUGUGUUUUCUCCCCCUCUCUUCAGUCUGGGUGCUGCAUCCCCUCAGGCAGCGGCAGCAGGGCUAGUCCAUGCCACACACACUUGCCCGGCAGCGGCUACCCCAGCUGAAAGGCCUGGGAGUGGGAAGGCAGCUUUCCUGACUGACUCAGACCCUCCCACCCAGACAUGCUGGCCUGGGGGUGGUGCACCUGGAGUGGAUCAGGGUGAGCAGCAGACCCCGGAGCUGCGUGCCCAGGGGCACAGGGACCCUGCCCGGAUGUUAUUUUGCGAACGUGUUCUAGGCACAAGAGGUUUGACAAUUUAAUCCUAAAAGGCCAUAGAGACACAGGGCCAGAUUCCUUUCUGGAUGAAAUCCACUGGCCUCAGUGAAGUUACAGCCGAGAUGAAUCUGCCCAUUAACAGAGCCCACGCAGACAAUAUUAUGGAACCCACAAGGGUCACAACAAAGAGUGAGGUCAAGCCAAAGAAUCAAACUGCCUGACUGGUUCAUCGGAGACACUGAGAUCAGAGAUGGACAAGACCUUGUCUGUCUCCUGCACCCUGUGGGCUAACGGGUCUCCUCUCCAAAGUAAUGUGGCUUCUGUCCCCUGCCUGGGGACCCUGUGUGUUCCCCACUGCUCACCCUGUGUCCCAUUCCACCCUGCCACUCCCAGUGCUGCCCUAGGGUGAGGAAGGUCAGGAACAGGAACCAGCCCUGAAGAGCACCCGCAAACAUCUGGGAAGGCAGCCAUGACUAGGACCUGAAAAGCGAUGGGCAUAUGGGGGACUGUGCCGCAAUCCAGCAGUUGCUCUGUGGGUCCAUGUCCCUCCCCAAUGCCUUCAGUCCUCGGAGACUGGGACAUCAGCAUCAGACCCUCCCAGAGGCGAGCGGGAUCCACCUUCAGAUUCUCCCGAAUGACUUACCCCGUUAGAAAUUAAAUAUUCCACCUCGGUAUGUGACGCUUUGUCAUUGUCCCUCUCUGAGGCUUGCCCUGACACCAGGGGAAGCCCACAUCUCUACUGUGUCCAUAUGGCCGGUAGCCAGUUAGCAAAGAGGCAACCCACAGAGCAGGGGUGGGUGGUGUCUUUCUUCAGCUGCCACCACAAUGGCAUGGAACUGGUUAGGGGGAUCAUCCCCAGUUACAACCAGAAGCCCCCACCCGCCUCGUAGCCACAUCACCCCCUACUCAGCCGCUGCCUGCAGGCUCCCAGGCACCCGAGAUGCCGGUGCGCCCAUUUGAGAGGUUCCAGUGCCCAGCCUGGAUUGAGAAGCCAGAAACGUGGGGCAGGGAGGGAAUUCUGUCCCAGAUUGGACUGGGACUGACUAGCAGAAGACAUGAAUGAGCUGGAUGUGUGAUGCAGCUGCAAAGGGGCACAUAUGACCCAGGCUACCACAGCGAGUGGGAGCCCCUCGAUCCAUUUCCCCUGGCCAUGACACCUGGUCACACCCGCAGCCCCAACGGCCAAAUUGCAGGCAGCAGCACCCAGAUACCAACAGACCCAUGUCACAGUGACAAGCAGAACAGUGGGGCUGACCCCACACCCACACUGGAUUGGGGGUAGCGCCCAAACGUUGUGGCUCGAGUCCCUCUCUGCAAUGGUCUAAUGAGAACCUCCCACACAAACAGCCCCAAGCUGUGACAUUCAGUUCCUACGCCACAGCUGCCCACCUGACCUCUGAUGCCAACACGGCUUUCUUUCCUUGGCCCCUUCUUCUGGUCAGCACUAGUCAGCCCCUGCUGAAAAUGCCAACUUGUCUGCCAUUGGGCUGCCAGCUGCUGGUAGCCGCCUGCAAGCUUUUCCUCCCCACCACUGCACCCUCCUCCAGCCCAGAGCCCCUUCGCACGCUCAUCUGACACCCCCCGCCCCGCCACACCAGAGAGCUAUGCAUGCCACGUUGUGUCAGGAGUCCAUGUUCAGUGGCUGGGGCUUUUAGGGGAUGGGAUGAAAACCUAAGCGCUGAGCAGCUCCGGAUGGGUCCUAUGGAAGGCCUUGUGCACAUGGAUCAGGCACC